GAGGCGAAGAGGCCUGAGGGUGACGGCGGUGGCGUUUCAUUCGCGGAGCAGAGAAAGGGCUAGGCUCGCGCGCCAGAGGGAGGAGCUUCGUGGCGGGGUCGCAUGGCCGAGCUCACGGCCAGAGCGGAUAAGGCGAGGCCAGGAGCACGCAGGGCCUGCCGGAUUCGAGCGAGAGGAACCACCUCAACACCAGAGGGAGGAGGCCAGCAACCACCUGUCGACAAUUCGGUGCGCAGGCAGCAGUGGAUGCAGCAAGGAUGGAAACAGCUUCGUUGACCACGGGACUGACGGUGCAUAAAGUGAUUUGCGUAGGUGAUGUGUUUUCCUAAUAGAAGAUGUCACACCUUGGCUGUGAGAAUUAUGUGCUGACUAUCCAAUUUUGCAUACAGCUCGGUGAGUCUCCUUCCCACUGUGUUCAGAUUAUUCGAUUUUCCCAUAGUUCACAUUGGUAAUUUGAGCUUAAAUUGGAUACAGAUGUAUGUACUGCUGUUAUGACUACUGCUACUUGAGCACUUCAGCAGUUGUUGCUAUUCGAUACUGAGAUUGAUUUAGAAAUAACGUGACAGAGUUAAUUACAUACAUAGUGACGUAAAAGCUCAUUGAUGUGCACAAGAUAUACAUGAACAUCUAUUUAUGGGUUCUGGGAAGUAUUUUAUGUAAUUUCCAGUCUUGAGUACAUGCAGAUUUCAUGUCCCGUGAUCUGGGGAAGCUUAUGUAAUUUAAGCCAUGACAUGUUUUUUCCUUUGGUUAUUUACCUUGGUGCAUGCCAAUCAAAUAUUUCUUCUAUGGAUGUGAUGCAUACUUUGAUUUUCAAGGCUUUUUUAUGAGAAUUUGCAAAAAAAAAAGGCUUUUUUAUGAGGAAGAGGAUGUCAUAUUAUGUUGUGUUGCAGGACAUGACUUUUAUAAAUCAUCUAAACAAAACAAAAAACGUACAUUAGACUUGAUCGACACAUGUGUGUAGUAUUAUGUAUUCUUCCUAAUUUUGUGUUUGUUACUCAUGCUAAUAAUUCAUACAGCUAAGUAUUGAAGAAGGAAAAUCAAUCAUUAUUUUUUAAAGGUUUUCUUUCCUUCUACAUUGAAAGUUUUUCUUGGUGAGGUGGUGGAGGUAGGUUAUAUUAUCAUGAUAUCCAUGUAUGCUUCUUUCUUGGUAUAAAUGUUCUAUAUAACCAAGGAUAUGCAGAGCUAGCUUGAUGUUGCACAUGUAUAAGGGGCACAAUUAGUUAUAUGGUGUAAAAAAUAGUAGUAGGUUACCUCUUUAUUUCCAUGUCCUCAGAGAUUUUAAUUUGGAAUUGUGGAUGUUAUUUUAAAAAACAGAAUGUGUCAUUCUCAUAGAGAUGUGUCAGUGAAAGAAGAAUCCCUGCUUUAUACCCCACACCUUACACUGGAAAAUUCUGAUUCAGAUCCUGGAUUGCAUAGACGUACAGUUAGUAUUAUUUGUUCUACCCCAAAAAAAUAGGCCAAUCAGGAAAGCCUUCUUAAUUAUCAAUGGGAAGCCAAUUUACCAUGUCAUGUCUUAUCGUACUCAUCUUUGAAAGGAAUAGAUAUUGAAUUUCACAAUCGUGUGUUACCCUUAAAAUCAUCUACUCUCCCUGUCUUACGUUUAUUCGUUUUCUGAUUGUUUUAUUCAAAAUAAACUAAACCAUUUGGAAUUGAACCUACAAUGCUGCUCUAUGUCAAGGGAUUUUUUUGUUUUUCAUCAAUUCGUUUAUAUCUAGCGUAUACAGAAUGCUAAAAAGAAGCAUACCCCGAUGAAAACAUGUAUCAGUAAGAACUAUACAUGUUUCUGACCAUACCUUGGCAUAAGCUAAUCCUGGGAUAUACAGAACUAGCAUAGCACCCUUUUUUUUAUUUCCACAACGUAUGGUUCUAAAUUUUCAGGCGGUGUACUCCCUGCUACCAUCUGAACUCGCCCGUAUGAAACUCCAUUGCGCACUGUGAGCCAUGGUAUCGACGUUUUCAAUGGCUUACUGUGUGUUCUUUCUGCUAGCCUGGUCCUCCUGUCGGCGUCGCUGAUAUCACAGCUGCGGAGCACGAAUGGACACAUGCUCACAUGCCAGAUUGCACAGAUAAAAGAAUAUGACAUUCAGUUUCAUUGUAAGAUGUUCACAUGCAUUGCCAAGUGGCAACUGAAAUGGGUGGUUGAUCCUGUUGCAAGUCUGCUGGAGCCUGCUGCCGCACACACCAUGAAGAACCUACUCCUUGAGGAGACGGGCGACGACAUAUCCGUGGUGUACACCUGGCUAGACCAGAUAUAUGGACGCGCUACUGCUGUUAAUGGCUAGGGUGAAAAGAUCACUGUCUCACCUUGGUACUCUCAUUCCCCAUGAAUUUGUCGCGCUCGGGUUGUACUUUGGGGUGAAGCCAUCAAGGGCCCAACCCACAGAAAAGAUGCAUGCCGAGGAGAGGUAUCACCACUAUGAGGUUAGGGAGCUGUUGGAGGCAUGUAUUGACUGUCGCUGGCUCCGCUCCGCCAUGCCAAUUCGAGUGAUUGGAUUGCCUGCCAAACAUUCCAUAUAAUUUCCCAACCACAGAGCCUAAUGCAGGUUAGGUUAUUUUCUUCUUUAAGAUCAAUCUACCAUUCAAUUGCUUGCAUCCGUUCCAGGUUCCAUGGAUUUGAUCGAGACAUCAUUUGUGUAUUUAACUAAGUGAAUGCAGAAUGCAGUUUCAUAAAUAUGACAAGCGAUCACAACAUGAAGCGAUGAUUGGGAUUAAGCUUUAUGUUUUGUUCCGUUGUUUCGGAAUUGCUUAUCUUUACAGAUUAAUUUCAUGCAUAGUUUGACCCUUAGAAAAGAAGUUUUAAACUUAUAAUACAUGCAGAUCAUCUUGAGGAAUACAACAACGACAAGAAAAAACUCAGCUACGUGUACUACAUUUUAAGUCGAUUGCAUGUGCAACACCAUUCGUGUUCCGGCAUGAGGUCUGCUGAUGUUAAGCUGCUAGGAGUCACAUAGCUGCGUACUUCAUGCAUACAUCUUUUUCUGUGCCGCAAGGAGAAUUGAGUUGCGGAUAAUGUUGACGCGCCAUGCUUUACAGAUUGAAAGAUGGGAGCUUGCUACAUGAUCAGAGACAACAAUUAGAUUACGAGAGUAAAAAUUAUCGUAUUUCAUGGAUCUAGGGUAUUCACUUGAGUAUGUAACCAUUUUUUAAAUCUUCUCUACGGACAUGGUUUUUACCAUUUUUUAAAUCUGCUCUACGGACAUGGUUUUUUUAAGGUAAAUGGUUCUUUUUGCAAAUAUAUAGCAGUGCAAAUUAGCCUCGAGAUGUCCAUAUUGGUCAGGUGUGCGUGAAAUCAAUGUACGUUGAAAGAAAGUGGCUUCAGAUGUACGGCCAUGUGCAGCCUUCGAAUAUUUCAAGUACUUAUGUGUAAUCUAAAUUAGGUUUAGCUUUACUAUACGCUGCCAACCUAAUGUCACACAGGAAAGAGGUUUGCAAUAUUAAUGGGAAAGAAAAACGAUUCUCUCUAA